rnacentral:lncRNA from 10 species
CUUAUGACCCGCACUUACUGGAAAUUCCUCCUUCAUGGGGAAUAAUUGCAAUCCCCCAUCCCCAUCACGAAUGAGGUUCAACAGGUUACCCGCCUCUGCCACGUAGGGUAGGCACACGCUGAGCCAGUCAGUGUAGCGCGCGUGCAGUCCCGGACAUCUAAGGGCAUCACAGAUCUGUUAUUGCUCAAGCUAUCAAUCUGUCAUGCGCCGGUCCAAGAAUUUCACCUCUAGCGGUGCAAUACAAAUGCCCCCAGCUGUCCCUCUUAAUCAUGGCCUCAGUUCCAUAAACCAACAAAAUAGAACCGCGGUCCUAUUCCAUUAUUCCUAGCUGCGGUAUCCAGGCGGCUUGGACCUGCUUUGAACACUCUAAUUUUUUCAAAGUAAACGCUUUGGGCCGCGGAACACUCAGCUAAGAGCAUCGAGGGGGCGAGCUUUUUAACUGCAGCAACUUUAAUAUACGCUAUUGGAGCUGGAAUUACCGCGGCUGCUGGCACUAAACUUGCCCUCCAAUGGAUCUUCGUUAAAGGAUUUAAAGUGGACUCAUUCCAAUUACAGGACCUCGAAAGAGUCCUGUAUUGUUAU